AUUGAACGCUGGCGGCAGGCCUAACACAUGCAAGUCGAGCGGAUGAAGGGAGCUUGCUCCUGGAUUCAGCGGCGGACGGGUGAGUAAUGCCUAGGAAUCUGCCUGGUAGUGGGGGAUAACGUCCGGAAACGGGCGCUAAUACCGCAUACGUCCUGAGGGAGAAAGUGGGGGAUCUUCGGACCUCACGCUAUCAGAUGAGCCUAGGUCGGAUUAGCUAGUUGGUGGGGUAAAGGCCUACCAAGGCGACGAUCCGUAACUGGUCUGAGAGGAUGAUCAGUCACACUGGAACUGAGACACGGUCCAGACUCCUACGGGAGGCAGCAGUGGGGAAUAUUAGACAAUGGGCGAAAGCCUGAUCCAGCCAUGCCGCGUGUGUGAAGAAGGUCUUCGGAUUGUAAAGCACUUUAAGUUGGGAGGAAGGGAAGUAAGUUAAUACCUUACUGUUUUGACGUUACCAACAGAAUAAGCACCGGCUAACUUCGUG
rnacentral:rRNA from 1 species